ensembl:lncRNA
AGAACACGGAGGGAGAUGAAAGGCACUUAUUGAUAUCUCCAGCCAGAUGUGAUAGUAAUGACCCUGUUUAUGACCUUCUCCUCAUCCUCCUUUGGGGUUAUGGAAUCGUGAUACCAAAGCCGAUUAGGAAGUAAAGGCCAUGUUUAUGGUCAUAAGAUUAUAAAUGGAAGAAAAAAUAUAAAAAAACAUGCUUUUUUGUUGUCUGAACAUUUUAUUAUGGGAUGGAAUGUUUGGUAGCUGAGUGUAAACCCCUCCCCCUUAACAGAUACACAGCUCAUAGUAGAGAUGGAGGUUCUUGCAACCAAUUCUUCAUUUGACCUGUGUGUGUGUGUGUGUGUGUGUGUGUGUGUGUGUGUGUGUGUGUGUCUCAGUGUGGCUCUAGGCUUUGGGCCCGUCAUCUAGACGGUAACGUUUCCAUGGAACCAUCCCCUCUAGGUAAAUCUCCCGAACUUCAGGCUACAAAUAGUUCUGCAAUUUCAUAUGCACAUAAAAUGGGCCUGAAGAACACACACACACACACACACACACACACACACACACACACACACACACAACUCACAAUCUAUUAUAGACACACACAACUCACAAUCUAUUAUACACACACACACACAAACUCACCACAUACCACGCACAGUACUGUUACAGAUUGAGAAACCCGUUGUUACUCUGAGAUAAAUAUCUAUUGACCUGACAAAUAAGUCAUUUUAUAGAAAGACUUCAAUAAUAUAUGGUUCGGUCUUAACCCAAAUGUAUGACAUAAGUAUUAUGUGAAACAUAUGUAGCUUGUGUAAUGCAAAAUAACAAUUCCUAAUACAUAUGGGCUGCAGGUAGCCUAGUGGUUAGAGUGGGGGAGGCAGGUAGCCUAGUGGUUAGAGUGGGGGAGGCAGGUAGCCUAGUGGUUAGAGUGGGGGAGGCAGGUAGCCUAGUGGUUAGAGUGGGGGAGGCAGGUAGCCUGGUGGUUAGAGUGUAGGGGCGGCAGGUAGCCUGGUGGUUAGAGUGUAGGGGCGGCAGGUAGACUGGUGGUUAGAGUGUAGGGGCGGCAGGGCAGCCUAGUGGUUAGAGUGUAGAGGGGGCAGGGCAGCCUAGUGGUUAGAGUGUAGAGGGGGCAGGGCAGCCUAGUGGUUAGAGUGUAGAGGGGGCAGGGCAGCCUAGUGGUUAGAGUGUAGAGGGGGCAGGGCAGCCUAGUGGUUAGAGUGUAGAGGGGGCAGGGCAGCCUAGUGGUUAGAGUGUGGGGGCGGCAGGUAGCCUAGUGGUUAGAGUGUUGGGCCAGUGACCUGAAAGUAGUUAGUAUAUAUACAGUAGUUAGUAUAUUCAGAUAGCUAGGUGAGACAACCACAUAUCACAGUAGUUAGUAUAUUCAGAUAUCUUCAGACCCAUCCCCAGUGCCCAGUCCACAGUCCUAUUCCCCAAUCCAUUACCUCAGCAGUACCAGUCAGUCCAUUACCUCAGCAGUACCAGUCAG